GCAAGUCGAACGGUAGAGGGGGCAACCCCUUGAUAGUGGCGAACGGGGGAGUAAUAUAUGCGGAACGUGUCCAGAUCCUGGGGGAUAACGUAGCAUAAGUUACGCUAAUACCGCAUACUAUCUAAGGAUGAAAGCGGGGGAUCGCAAGACCUCGCGCGACUGGAGCGGCCGAUAUCAGAUUAAGUAGUUGGUAGGGUAAAGGCCUACCAAGCCAACGAUCUGUAGAUGGUCUGAGAGGACGACCAGACGCUCUGGAACUGACACGCAGCCCAGACUCCUACGGGAGGCAGACAGUGGGGAAUUUUGGACAAUGGGUCGGAAAGCCUGAUCCAGCCAUUCCGCGUGCAGGAUGAAUGCCCUCGGGUUGUAAACUGCUUUUGUACACAACGAAAAGGUUUCUAUUAAUACUAGGAGCUCAUGACGGUACUGUAAGAAUAACCACCGGCUAACUACGUGCCAGCUUCCGCGGUAAUACGUAGGGUGCCAGCGGUAAUCGGAAUUACUGGGAGUAAAGGGUGCGCAAGCGGGUAUAUAAGUCAUAUGUGAAAUCACCGGGCUCAACCUGGGAACUGCAUUUGAUACUGUAUAACUCGAGUACAGUAGAGGGGGAUGGAAUUCCGCGUGUAUCACUGAGAUGCGUAGAUAUGCGGAGGAACACCGAUGGACAACGCAAUCCCCUGCACCUCUACUGACGCUCAUGCACGAAAGCGUGCGGAGCAAACAGGAUUAGAUACCCUGAUAGACCACGCCCUACACCAUGUCAACUGAUUGUUGGGUCUUUACUGACUCAAUA
rnacentral:rRNA from 1 species